rnacentral:rRNA from 1 species
UUAAGCGACUAAGCGUACACGGUGGAUGCCUAGGCAGUCAGAGGCGAUGAAGGGCGUGCUAAUCUGCGAUAAGCGUCGGUAAGGUGAUAUGAACCGUAAUAACCGGCGAUACCCGAAUGGGGAAACCCAGUGCAAUUCGUUGCACUAUCGUACGAUGAAUACAUAGUCGUAUGAGGCGAACCGGGGGAACUGAAACAUCUAAGUACCCCGAGGAAAAGAAAUCAACCGAGAUUCCCCCAGUAGCGGCGAGCGAACGGGGAGGAGCCCAGAGCCUGAAUCAGUGUGUGUGUUAGUGGAAGCGUCUGGAAAGGCGCGCGAUACAGGGUGACAGCCCCGUACACAAAAAUGCACAUGCUGUGAGCUCGAUGAGUAGGGCGGGACACGUGGUAUCCUGUCUGAAUAUGGGGGGACCAUCCUCCAAGGCUAAAUACUCCUGACUGACCGAUAGUGAACCAGUACCGUGAGGGAAAGGCGAAAAGAACCCCGGCGAGGGGAGUGAAAAAGAACCUGAAACCGUGUACGUACAAGCAGUGGGAGCCUCUUUAUGGGGUGACUGCGUACCUUUUGUAUAAUGGGUCAGCGACUUAUAUUCUGUAGCAAGGUUAACCGAAUAGGGGAGCCGAAGGGAAACCGAGUCUUAACUGGGCGUUAAGUUGCAGGGUAUAGACCCGAAACCCGGUGAUCUAGCCAUGGGCAGGUUGAAGGUUGGGUAACACUAACUGGAGGACCGAACCGACUAAUGUUGAAAAAUUAGCGGAUGACUUGUGGCUGGGGGUGAAAGGCCAAUCAAACCGGGAGAUAGCUGGUUCUCCCCGAAAGCUAUUUAGGUAGCGCCUCGUGAAUUCAUCUCCGGGGGUAGAGCACUGUUUCGGCAAGGGGGUCAUCCCGACUUACCAACCCGAUGCAAACUGCGAAUACCGGAGAAUGUUAUCACGGGAGACACACGGCGGGUGCUAACGUCCGUCGUGAAGAGGGAAACAACCCAGACCGCCAGCUAAGGUCCCAAAGUCAUGGUUAAGUGGGAAACGAUGUGGGAAGGCCCAGACAGCCAGGAUGUUGGCUUAGAAGCAGCCAUCAUUUAAAGAAAGCGUAAUAGCUCACUGGUCGAGUCGGCCUGCGCGGAAGAUGUAACGGGGCUAAACCAUGCACCGAAGCUGCGGCAGCGACGCUUAUGCGUUGUUGGGUAGGGGAGCGUUCUGUAAGCCUGUGAAGGUGUGCUGUGAGGCAUGCUGGAGGUAUCAGAAGUGCGAAUGCUGACAUAAGUAACGAUAAAGCGGGUGAAAAGCCCGCUCGCCGGAAGACCAAGGGUUCCUGUCCAACGUUAAUCGGGGCAGGGUGAGUCGACCCCUAAGGCGAGGCCGAAAGGCGUAGUCGAUGGGAAACAGGUUAAUAUUCCUGUACUUGGUGUUACUGCGAAGGGGGGACGGAGAAGGCUAUGUUGGCCGGGCGACGGUUGUCCCGGUUUAAGCGUGUAGGCUGGUUUUCCAGGCAAAUCCGGAAAACCAAGGCUGAGGCGUGAUGACGAGGCACUACGGUGCUGAAGCGACAAAUGCCCUGCUUCCAGGAAAAGCCUCUAAGCAUCAGGUAACAUCAAAUCGUACCCCAAACCGACACAGGUGGUCAGGUAGAGAAUACCAAGGCGCUUGAGAGAACUCGGGUGAAGGAACUAGGCAAAAUGGUGCCGUAACUUCGGGAGAAGGCACGCUGAUAUGUAGGUGAAGCGACUUGCUCGUGGAGCUGAAAUCAGUCGAAGAUACCAGCUGGCUGCAACUGUUUAUUAAAAACACAGCACUGUGCAAACACGAAAGUGGACGUAUACGGUGUGACGCCUGCCCGGUGCCGGAAGGUUAAUUGAUGGGGUUAGCGGCAACGCGAAGCUCUUGAUCGAAGCCCCGGUAAACGGCGGCCGUAACUAUAACGGUCCUAAGGUAGCGAAAUUCCUUGUCGGGU